AACGGACCAUAUAAUUGGGUAACCGAAAGUAUGGUUAGUGGCGAAAGGGUGAGGAAUAGAUAGGAACGUACCCUGUGCUCUGGGAUAGCGUCUGAAGCUUCGGCUUCUUCCGAAAGGGGCGGUAAUACCAGAUAAUGUCCUUCGGGACCAAAGAUUUAUCGGCAUUGGAGCGGCCUAUCUCCUAUCAGCUUGUUGGUGAGGUAACGGCUCACCAAGGCAACGACGGGUAGCGGGACUGAGAGGUUGGCCCGCCACAUCGGGACUGAGACACUGCCCGGACCUCCACGGAGGGCUGCAGUAACGGAUAUUGGGCAAUGGGCGAAAGCCUGACCCAGCAAUGCCGCGUGCAGGAUGAAGCCCCUAGGGGUGUAAACUGCUGUCAGGGGUCAGAAAGCUGGUUUCGGCCAGUUGAUCAACCCCAGAGGAAGUCACGGCUAACUUCGUGCCAGCAGCCGCGGUAAUACGAAGGUGGCAAGCGUUAUUCGGAAUCAUUGGGCUUAAAGGGCACGCAGGCGGAACAGUGUGUGUUGUGUGAAAUCCCCCGGCUUAACCGGGGAAUUGCACAGCAAACUGCUGUUCUUGAGGCAGGUAGGGGUGCAUGGAACUCUUGGUGGAGCGGUGGAAUGCGUAGAUAUCAAGAGGAACGCCAGAGGUGAAGACGGUGCACUGGGCCUGUCCUGACGCUGAGGUGCGAAAGCGUGGGGAGCGAACGGGAUUAGAUACCCCGGUAGUCCACGCCGUAAACGAUGUCUACUAGGUCGUGGGUGUUCUGACACAUUCACGGCCGGAGCAAAAGUGUUUAGUAGACCGCCUGGGGAGUACGGCCGCAAGGUUAAAACUCAAAUGAAUUGACGGGGGCUCACACAAGCGGUGGAGCAUAUGGAUUAAUUCGAAGCAACGCGCAGAACCUUACACUGGGUUUGACAUGCUUGUAUGCCUUCUCUGAAAGGGAGUUAGGCUGCACUUCAGGGUGAAACUUGGGCACAGGGUGCUGCAUGGCUGUCGUCAGCUCGUGUCGUGAGAUGUCGGGUUAAGUCCUUUAACGAGCGAAACCCUUGCCGUUAGUUGCCAGCGAGUAAUGUCGGGGACUCUAANCGGGACUGCCGGUGUUAAACACGGAGGAAGGUGGGGAUGACGUCAAAGUCCUCAUGGCCCUUUUUAUGCACCAAGGGGGCUGUGCACACGUGCUACAAUGGCAAUUACAGAGGACGCGAUACCGCGAGGUGGAGCAAAUCGCAAAAAAAUUGCCUCAGUUCGGAUUGCAGGCUGCAAUUCGCUGCAUGAAGUCGGAAUCGCUAGUAAUCGCGUAUCAGCAAUGACGCGGUGAAUGUGUUCCUGAGC
rnacentral:rRNA from 1 species